UCUCCGUUGGUGAACCAGCGGAGGGAUCAUUACCUAGUUUACAACUCCCAAACCCCUAUGUGAACGUUACCAAACUGUUGCCUCGGCGGGAAAUUCAUGCCCCGGGCGCGUCGCAGCCCCGGACCAAGGCGCCCGCCGGAGGACCAACCAAAACUCUUUGUAUGUCCCUCGCGGACUUUUAUAAUUCUGAACCAUCUCGGCGCCCCUAGCGGGCGUUUCGAAAAUGAAUCAAAACUUUCAACAACGGAUCUCUUGGUUCUG
rnacentral:misc_RNA from 1 species